rnacentral:lncRNA from 1 species
AAAGCUCUCUGCUUCUUGCAUUUUUAUUUGACUCCAGAGUAUUUCCUCACUUUUCUGUACCCAACUGUACCCUCUGGCACCAACCAGAGACUUUGAAACCCUCAGUUUCAGCCAUCAUCAGUGAGGACAGAGGACGUCUGAAACCCAGACCAUUUCCUGAGCUGCAAUCACAAAGUUCUUUAUAUAAUUACAUAUGUGGCACUGACUUCAGUUUCUAUCAUUGAGAGCUUCUUCCAUGAGACUCAAACCACUGGUCACAGGUUUCAAGUUGCCCUAGCAUGCAGGAUGAGAUGGCUUCAGAGAGGAUGGGCAGCCCGGUUUCAUCAGAGUGACAGUGGAAAGUACCUUGGGCUUUGUGGUCAGAAGAGCCCAGCUCCAGGGCAGUGUGUUUCCUGAAGCCAUGUGACCUUGAGCAAAUCGCUUUUGUCUUUGACCCUCUGUUUUCUUCUGGGUUAAUGAAAAUAGGAGGUCAAAGGGAGAAGAGAGAAUCAGCUCAACAGCAAGAGUGGCUGGCGGGACAUCAUCAUUACACGGCCCCAGAAAGGCCCUGAGUUCUCCGGCUUCCUUCAAUAUCACCAGAAGGAGCACAUCUGUCACGACAUCAGCACUUUCCAGAGCAGUUGGAGCAGAGGGUUUAUG